ensembl:lncRNA
CAGGGCUGCAUCCACAGCGCCGCCGUGAACGAAGGCUCUUCAUUGGUUCUGCGUGAUUCCUCAUGGGGAACCUCAGUUUUUGCUCUGAAGGCUUUCAACUGAUUGGAUGAAGCCCACCUACAUUAUCGAGGGGUAACUUCUUCACUUAAAGCCAACGGAAUAUAGAUGUUAACCACAUCUACAAAAAUACCUUCACAGCAGCACCCAGGAGACUUGAUUUUUCAUCCAGAACCACCACUCCCACCAACUCCACUCCCAGGCCAUGUGGUUCAGGUGGUUUGGUCCCCACUCUUGACCCAGCAGUCGGCCUGUGAGCCAAGUUUGAUCAAACAUCCUGUGAUCCUGUAUUCACUAUGAUUGACUAGAGGGAAUCUGCUUGUCACUAGGAUAGAAAAUCAGGAAAACAUUCAGAGAGUCACAAAUGUCAACGUACUCAUUGCUGGAUUUACCAACAGGCAGACUGGGUUAAGUAUAACUUGGUUACAUUGCUACUAUGAAUCUCUGCAGACUUAUUUUUUAAAUGCUAUUAUUUCAAACAUCUAAAAAGGACCUCAACUCCACCACUAAGUAGCUGUGUGACCUUAGGCAAUGUUGAGAUCUUUAAGCCCCAGUAGUCGUCUGUUACAAGAUAAUGGUGAUAGUGGUUUAGUCACUUAAGUCAUGUUUGAGUCUUGUGACUUGAUGGACUGUAGCUAAGAUAAUAAAAGAAAAUAUUUUAUAAGGAUCAUUCUGAGAAUAGUGAAGUAAUUUAUGUAAAGUAUCUUUACAUACUAAGCACCAAACAAAUACUGGCUAAGAUGAAUUAUUAUUAUUAUAGUAAAGUUACUAGGGCAGGUCUAGA